rnacentral:rRNA from 1 species
GACGAACGCUGGCGGCGUGCCUAAUACAUGCAAGUCGAGCGGAACUGGGGGAGCUUGCUCCUUCCAGUUUAGCGGCGGACGGGCGAGUAACACGUGGGCAACCUGCCCUGCAGAUCGGGAUAACUCCGGGAAACCGGUGCUAAUACCGAAUAGUUUGGCGCCUCUCCUGAGGCGCUACGGAAAGACGGUUUCGGCUGUCACUGCAGGAUGGGCCCGCGGCGCAUUAGCUAGUUGGUGGGGUAACGGCCCACCAAGGCGACGAUGCGUAGCCGACCUGAGAGGGUGACCGGCCACACUGGACUGAGACACGGCCCAGACUCCUACGGGAGGCAGCAGUAGGGAAUCUUCCGCAAUGGACGCAAGUCUGACGGAGCAACGCCGCGUGAGUGACGAAGGUUUUCGGAUCGUAAAACUCUGUUGUGAGGGAAGAACACGUACCAACUAACUAUUGGUACCUUGACGGUACCUCACCAGAAAGCCACGGCUAACUACGUGCCAGCCGCCGCCGUAA